rnacentral:rRNA from 1 species
GCAUAUCAAUAAGCGGAGGAAAAGAAASMMACCGGGAUUGCCUCAGUAACGGCGAGUGAAGCGGCAAGAGCUCAAAUUUGAAAGCUGGCUCCUUCGGGGUCCGCAUUGUAAUUUGCAGAGGAUGCUUCGGGUGCAGCCCCCGUCUAAGUGCCCUGGAACGGGCCGUCAUAGAGGGUGAGAAUCCCGUAUGGGGCGGGGUGUCUGCGUCCGUGUGAAGCUCCUUCGACGAGUCGAGUUGUUUGGGAAUGCAGCUCUAAAUGGGUGGUAAAUUUCAUCUAAAGCUAAAUACUGGCCGGAGACCGAUAGCGCACAAGUAGAGUGAUCGAAAGAUGAAAAGCACUUUGAAAAGAGAGUUAAACAGCACGUGAAAUUGUUGAAAGGGAAGCGCUUGCAACCAGACUCGCUCGCGGGGUUCAGCCGGGCUUCGGCCCGGUGUACUUCCCCGCGGGCGGGCCAGCGUCGGUUUGGGCGGCCGGUCAAAGGCCUCCGGAAUGUAGCGCCCUUCGGGGCGCCUUAUAGCCGGGGGUGCAAUGCGGCCAGCCUGGACCGAGGAACGCGCUUCGGCACGGACGCUGGCAUAAUGGUUGUAAACGACCCGUCUUGAAACACGGACCAAGGAGUCUAACAUCUACGCGAGUGUUCGGGUGUCAAACCCGUACGCGCAGUGAAAGCGAACGGAGGUGGGAGCCCCCUCGCGGGGCGCACCAUCGACCGAUCCUGAUGUCUUCGGAUGGAUUUGAGUACGAGCGUAGCUGUGGGGACCCGAAAGAUGGUGAACUAUGCCUGAAUAGGGCGAAGCCAGAGGAAACUCUGGUGGAGGCUCGCAGCGGUUCUGACGUGCAAAUCGAUCGUCAAAUUUGGGUAUAGGGGCGAAAGACUAAUCGAACCAUCUGGUAGCUGGUUCCUGCCGA